UACGUAGGGGGCAAGCGUUGUCCGGAUUCAUUGGGCGUAAAGAGCGUGUAGGCGGCCAGGUAGGUCAGCUGUGAAAACUGGAGGCUCAACCUUCAGACGUCGGCUGAAACCAUCUGGCUAGAGUCCGGGAGAGGAGAGUGGAAUUCCUGGUGUAGCGGUGAAAUGCGCAGAUAUCAGGAAGAACACCCGUGGCGAAAGCGGCUCUCUGGACCGGUACUGACGCUGAGACGCGAAAGCGUGGGGAGCGAACAGG
rnacentral:rRNA from 1 species